CCUGGUGAUCAUUUUAAUAUAUGCAAAUUUUUUUUAGUUGUUAAGGCUUGCUUAGAUAAUCAAAAUGUUUUUUCAUCAUGGGUUUGGACUUGCUAUUUUUAAGACUGUCCUUCCCUUUGAUGUUAAUGUUUACUUAGCUGUUGAAAUAAUGUUUUUUACAUAUAUAUACACACACACACACACACACACACACACACACACACACACAUAUAUAUAUAUAUAUAUAUAGAGAGAGAGAGAGAGAGACAGAGAGUCUGUCAAGGAUACUUGUGUGUCAAAAAAUCAGUUUUUUCAUUUCAAAUUCAGGAGAAAAUUUUUAAUUUUCAAAAUUAAAUCAACAUAUUUUACAAAUUUUAGUAAAAAUGUUUCAUAGACAGUCAAACCAAUCUGACUAUAAGAACAGUAAAUUUUAUCAGCCGCAUUUUUAUUUACAAAACUGGUAAAUAAUAGAAUGCUAUUCUAUGCUUUCCAAAAUGUCAUUAGAAUAGAAUGUAUAUCUUAUACCAUUACCCUGACCACAUUUUGUUCAACAUAACCACAAUAAUACUAAUUUACAUCCUCUGGUCUCUUUUCUUUUGGAUCAUUCCAUAUAACUGCAUCCUUUGCUAUUCUAUUACAAUUCAAAGGUGUUUCACUUAGUUCUGUUCUGUCGAUUCCAAGUAGUCUUUUAUUUUUUGAAAACUUUCUCUCCAUAUCUGACUUACCAUGUGGAAGUAUUAAUGCUGCUUUGACUAACUUUUCAAGUAUAGGGAACUUGAGCUUGUUGUCAGUUGUUUUAAUAGAGAAUACUUACCUCUGGUAAUGGUCAACUCUUUCAAGAGACUUGUCACAUUUUAAUUGUUCUGUCUAAAACAGUUUCAAUUCAUUCAUUGCUGUAGCUACCUGAUUUGAGACUAUAUUAUGUGUAGCUCUGGCAAUAACACAGGAGUCGUUAACUGAACUUUAAAGGGUCUUUUACUAUGGAUGGAAACAUUUGAAUCUUUUGAUAAUUAUAUCUUUAAAGGAAUAUUGUGGUAGGUGCAUAACAACAGAUGAAAAAAAUGUUCUCCUGCCUGGGAUCUAAAGUUUUUGUUUCAAAGAAGAUAAAGCUUUGACUACAGAAAUAUAAUGAAAAGUUGCUCAUUGACUCCAUAAUGAAACUAAAUUUUAGAAAAGCUUCAUCUUGCUGAUAAUAAUUUAAGAAAUGAAUGAAGAUCAAUGGCAAACUUUUGAACAGCAUUACAAUAAUCUUUAGCAGCUUUUCCAAAUGAAUUGUGAAUUGGAAGAACAGCAUUACAAUAAUCUUUAGUAGCUUUUCCAAAUGAAUUGUGAAUUGGAAAUGCCAGUGGAGGAUCAAACAAAUAUAGAAAGACAGGGAAAUUGGUAGAGAGAUGCGAUUGACAGGGAUAUAUUAAAGGUUGAUGCCACUAAUCUAUGGAGAAGAAAGACUCAA